rnacentral:rRNA from 1 species
UACGUAGGGACCAAGCGUUGUUCGGAUUUACUGGGCGUAAAGGGCGCGUAGGCGGCGCGGUAAGUCACUUAUGAAAUCUCUGAGCUUAACUCAGAACGGCCAAGUGAUACUGCAGUGCUAGAGUGUGGAAGGGGCAAUCGGAAUUCUUGGUGUAGCGGUGAAAUGCGUAGAGAUGUGGAGGAACACCAGUGGCGAAGGCGACUCUUUGGCCUGUAACUGACACUGAGGCGCGAAAGCGUGGGGAGCAAACAGG